rnacentral:rRNA from 1 species
GCUGGUGGCGGUGAAUACCUGUCUUUCAGCUUGCUGGCUUUUUCGACAAGAGUUAUUGGUGUGUC